UAACCAUGAUGUGGACAUUUUCUCAACAAUGCCUUAUAUCUCUCCCAUGCUUGAUACAAGCCUUCACCUGGUUGUGCUUUGAAAGUAAGAAUAAUUGCUCUCAUUUGCUGAGUCU
rfam:Daucus carota subsp. sativus cultivar DH1 chromosome 9, whole genome shotgun sequence.